UAAAAAUAGAGUUUUAUUACAGGAAAACCUCUUGCUAUUCUGAUCUUGUCCUGCCUUGUGUGUAAAUAUGUGACUGACUUUUUUUUUUUUUUUUUUGACAGGUUAUUUAGAAAGAGAAUACUUUGCUGAACAGACCAGCACAAGAUGACUUAUGAUUCUUACACUUCAUGGGAGCCUGUCUGGAUCGUCCCUGCAGAACGCUACAGCUUCCUUCCCUCUUCAGUAUUCUUGGCUUGCGGAGUCAUAAACCUUGGUGGAACUUCGGAUGGAAAUACUGACAUGACUUUAAGAACUUUGACGCUUUCAGACAUUGAAUUUUGAUUUGUUAAAUGACCAGGAAUAAGAUACUGCCUGAACAAGAUGAAAUGCCUUGAAGACCUUUGGUUCUG
rnacentral:lncRNA from 1 species